GAUGUACUCCCUUCGCCCCAAAAUUCUUGUCUUAGAUUUGUCUACAUAUGGAUGUAUCUAGUCACAUCUUACUGUUAGAUACAUUCGUAUCUAGAUAAAUUGAAGACAAGAAUUUUGGGACGGAGGGAGUAUCAA
rfam:Triticum aestivum genome assembly, contig: Triticum_aestivum_CS42_TGACv1_scaffold_328137_4BS